AGUGUUUUUAAGAGGCCCAUGAUCUCCAGGGACUGGAUCCCAUGUUGCUGGAAGUGUCUGCUAAUGGGUAUGGAUUGGUCCCCCCUUGUGAUGUUGCUGAGGUGUCCUGUCAGUCUCACUCUGAUGCUGUUGUCUGUUUCGCCUAUGUACAGUAAGUUGCACUCUUUACAUCUAAUUGCAUACACCACAUUCUUUUGCUCACAGGUUAUCCUCUGCGCUAUCUGGCCUCUCUUCCCUGUUACACUGUUCUCUAUAUUUUUGGCUAUUACUAAGUGGGUGCAGGCCCCACACCGUCUCUGCCCACAAUCUGGGGCUGUGUGUAGACUUGUACUGACCAGGAUGUCCUUCAGAUUUUUAGCCCUCUUGAAUGCUGACAUUACCUUGUACCCCUUUAGUGUGGCAAAUCCCCUUUGGAAUUGUUCAAACUGGCCCU